CAGCGCCGCACCAAGAAACAGGGCAGCCCUUUGGGCUGCUCUCUCAUCCUCUUCCCCCAUCCUUCUCCACCAUUUUUCAUUUUUCCUCUUUUCUUUCUAUUUUAUUUUGAGAAUUUGAAGGACUACUCACACAAAACUUUAAGGAUCCAUCAAGGGGCUCAACCUCUACAAGAUUCAAUAUUUAGGAGAUCUGAACCGUUGAAGAUGAGUCUAUAUAUAGAUGCACCGCAUCAGAUCGAAGCCGAGAUCGAGCCUUCGCCGACCCGCAUACCACGUCUGAGACCCCGCCUUUUUUCCGUCGUCCGCACCGGUGGACAGAGCUUCCUCUCGAGGUCGCCGUCCUCCCUGUACUUGUGGUUUUGUUAAAUGACGUUCGGCGACAUAGAAUCGAAGAAGAGAAGGUUCGCCGGUUUCGGAGCAUUUUCCGGCCACUUCGGUCACGUUGAUGGUAAGUGAGGUAUCGAAAUUUAUCUACUCAGUGAGCUCUAAAUGUCAGUGCAAUUGAUUUUCAUAUUCGGUUCAUGUUUUAAGAUUUGGUUGUUUUGGGGCUCCGGCGGUGUUUCCCGGCGAUUCAAGCCGGCGGCGGCGGCGGGAAAGGUAUCAGAAACAUCCCUUCAUCGAGCUGUACAUGAUUGUGUCCUUGAUUUUCAUUUUUGGUAAAGAUUGAAGAAAUUGGUAAUUUGAGAUUACUGAACCGCCGUGGUCGGUGUUUUACAGCGGCGGUGCUGAGUUGUUCUUGCCCAGUUCUGGCCUCAAUUUUGGAUUUGGAGCAUGACUUUAGAUUCUUGAUAUGUCUGAAAUCAAUUGUUGAUUAAGUUUGGAGUUUUGGGGUUUGAGUUCGCGGUUUGAAAUGGUCCAAAGAACAAAUUGAAUUGGUUAUUUGAUUAUGAUCGAAUGAAAUUGGAAAUAUUGAACAAGGAGAAGGUUGGAUGAUCGGAGAGUUAAUCUGAGUUGUCCGGAGAGUAUUCAGUAUUGGAUGUCCAGAGUAAUCGACAAGGAGAAAAUAAUUACUUUUGGACAUGAGUAUCGAAUGAACAAGUUCGGCCCUACAUAAUUUUAAUUUGUUCACAAAGUUCAACACGUUUUUGAAGAGGACUCAGCGAGACGACAUUUCUUACGUUUACGAAAGUUGAAUGCAGCAGUGCCAGCAGAGUAGAUAGAUAUAGAUCGGAGAGCGUUAUUUCUCUUUGUAAAGUUUUUAUGUUAUUUCAAAUUUUUUUUUUUGACGAUUUUCUGAAAAUGUAUUGGCUAUUGUUCUACUUUUCUAUCAUUGACCCCUCGGAUUGGGCGUUAGCUA